UCAGCCCGCAAACUCCCCCUGAAAAACGUGCAACGUUCACUAAUGCACACACACAGCACGGCCAUGCUGGGAAUGACGGCAGGGAAAAGGUACUGUGCUCUGCACAUUAAAGCAAGCUUUCGCAGGUGCGGAAAUCCAGCCAGUACAGCUACUGAGACCACUGGGAAGAAGAGAGUUGAACCCUGCUGGAGCCCCAGCUCUGGCCUGCUCCCCUCCAUCCCACAGCUCGGGCUCAGGACCUCCUCCCUGGAAAGUGCGGAACACCUUCUUCUGCUUCUCCUGAGGCCUCGCUGUGACAUCUGCUCCAGGAAGUGUCUGGGUCAGCCUCCUAGUGAUACUUGGUGGAAUUAUUUUAUUUAAAACAUCUGCGGAAUAUCCUAUUUAUCAUAAUACUGAGAGAAAGGAACAAAAAGAAAAGAAAGAAGUCAUAAAUAGCUAUCAGAAUCAACCCACUGCUGACGCUACGUGUAGCUAUAAACUCACUGGAUAUGACGUGAUUUGACUUUCCAAAACUGGGUCUAUGUCGUUUAGGCUGGUCUUGAACUCACUA